AAUAGGUUCAGCAUGUGGCUCCAUAAAUGACCAUGUCUGACAUUACUAGAUGGUUUAUUUUCCUUAAAGAGUGUCAUUAAAAGGUUGUGUGGAGUUUUAAAGUCAAUAGGAGAGUUGUGGCUCAAGUCCAGGGCAGUGCUAUGAAAAUGUAUCCCUUCCUGUUUGGUAACUGCUUAGGAUCAUUUUGAUUUUGAUUUUUCAGGGCUGUCAGCACAUUCUGGAUUGCAAAUCCAAACAACAGCUUAAUAGAGAAUGCAGUGGCUGCUGCUCAGGAUGUUGGGAUAUGGUGCCUCUUCCCCUGGGUCCUCACCAGACAAUCUGAUGGAAAAUAUCCAGAGGGACAGGCUGAACACAUCCCCUGCAGCAGAGCCCACUCGAUUUUCAAGCGUGCUACAUCCUGUGCUCAUGUCCUGCUGAGCAGUGCCAGGAGACCCAGAGGGAAGGGAGAGCCUGGCUGCUGCUGCUCCUGUGCCUGCACGCCCUGCCUGCCCACAGCCAUUGAUAAAAUCCAUCAUCUUUGGUCCCUGUUCAAGUAAUCGGAGGCGUGUGCAUUUCCAGGCUGGGCUGUUUAUUGGAAAAGGAGUAAAGACAACGAGAGCCUGAAGAUCCCAGGGAGGAUCUCACUGUGGAUGAUGCCAGGUUUUCAGACAAUGGAAUUGGACUCACUCUGGCAAGUGAUGGGACUUUCCCAACAGACAGCAGCUCCAGCCUGGAGGUUACAUAUUCCAUUUUUGUUGGAGAAAGCAGCAACUUUGGCUCCCAGAGAGGCCAAAACAGCUACUGGGGAAAAGGGGCAAAUGGAGAACACAGAACACUGCCCAGAAACAAGUUGGACUGGAAGUGUUUUUUGGCAGACCAGGCCA
rnacentral:lncRNA from 1 species